UUUUUUGUUUUCAGGCCUCAUCAUUGCUUCCUGACAACUUCUUGAUCAGUUUGAACAUUUUCAGUGGAGGCUGAGUAAUCCAGGCAAAGCAGUUUCUUUGCAGCAUGUCUAAAUGAUAGUGUUUUUCCGUUUUUGGAUGAUGGUACUUUUAAAUGCCUAAGAAGUUUGUCUUCUGGAAGAUGGAAGAUGUUUUGAAACGUUGUCCCAUCCUUUUGAAACAUUCAUUCUUUGAUGAGACUGUGUCACACUUUUUUUAAAUUGUGAAAAAAUAUUUAACAGUAAAUGUACUUCCUUAAUAAUAAUAAUAAAAAUAAUUAAACCUG